AGCGAACGCUGGCGGCAGGUCUAACACAUGCAAGUCGAACGAACUCUUCGGAGUUAGUGGCGGACGGGUGAGUAACACGUGGGAACGUGCCUUUUGGUUCGGAAUAACUCAGGGAAACUUGUGCUAAUACCGAAUGUGCCCUUCGGGGGAAAGAUUUAUCGCCAUUAGAGCGGCCCGCGUCUGAUUAGCUAGUUGGUGAGGUAACGGCUCACCAAGGCGACGAUCAGUAGCUGGUCUGAGAGGAUGACCAGCCACACUGGGACUGAGACACGGCCCAGACUCCUACGGGAGGCAGCAGUGGGGAAUCUUGCGCAAUGGGCGAAAGCCUGACGCAGCCAUGCCGCGUGAAUGAUGAAGGUCUUAGGAUUGUAAAAUUCUUUCACCGGGGACGAUAAUGACGGUACCCGGAGAAGAAGCCCCGGCUAACUUCGUG
rnacentral:rRNA from 1 species